rnacentral:rRNA from 1 species
GGGAAUUUUCCGCAAUGGGCGAAAGCCUGACAGAGCAAUGCCGCGUGGAGGUGGAAGGCCUACGGGUUGUCAACUUCUUUUCUCAGAGAAGAAACAAUGACAGUAUCUGAGGAAUAAGCAUCGUCCAACUCUGUGCCAG